AACGAACGCUGGCGGCAGGCUUAACACAUGCAAGUCGAACGCCCCGCAAGGGGAGUGGCAGACGGGUGAGUAACGCGUGGGAAUCUACCCAGUUCUACGGAACAACUGAGGGAAACUUCAGCUAAUACCGUAUACGCCCUACGGGGGAAAGAUUUAUCGGAAUUGGAUGAGCCCGCGUUGGAUUAGCUAGUUGGUGAGGUAACGGCUCACCAAGGCGACGAUCCAUAGCUGGUCUGAGAGGAUGAUCAGCCACACUGGGACUGAGACACGGCCCAGACUCCUACGGGAGGCAGCAGUGGGGAAUAUUGGACAAUGGGCGCAAGCCUGAUCCAGCCAUGCCGCGUGAGUGAUGAAGGCCUUAGGGUUGUAAAGCUCUUUCAGUGGGGACGAUAAUGACGGUACCCACAGAAGAAGCCCCGGCUAACUUCGUGCCAGCCGCCGCCGUAA
rnacentral:rRNA from 1 species